rnacentral:rRNA from 1 species
AGCGAACGCUGGCGGCAGGCCUAACACAUGCAAGUCGAACGAAGCCUUCGGGCUUAGUGGCGGACGGGUGAGUAGCACGUGGGAACGUACCUUUUGGUUCGGAACAACUCAGGGAAACUUGAGCUAAUACCGGAUGAGCCCUUAGGGGGAAAGAUUUAUCGCCGAAAGAGCGGCCCGCGUUAGAUUAGCUAGUUGGUGAGGUAAAGGCUCACCAAGGCAACGAUCUAUAGCUGGUCUGAGAGGAUGAUCAGCCACACUGGGACUGAGACACGGCCCAGACUCCUACGGGAGGCAGCAGUGGGGAAUCUUGCGCAAUGGGCGAAAGCCUGACGCAGCCAUGCCGCGUGAAUGAUGAAGGUCUUAGGAUUGUAAAAUUCUUUUACCAGGGACGAUAAUGACGGUACCUGGAGAAAAAGCCCCGGCUAACUUCGUGCCAGCCGCCGCUGAACAC